UGCUUACACAUGCAAGUCGAACGAUGAAAUCACUUCGGUGGUGGAUUAGUGGCGAACGGGUGAGUAACACGUGGGCAAUCUGCCCUUCACUCUGGGACAAGCCCUGGAAACGGGGUCUAAUACCGGAUACCACNNNGUCCCGCAUGGGACGGGGUUGAAAGCUCCGGCGGUGAAGGAUGAGCCCGCGGCCUAUCAGCUUGUUGGUGGGGUAAUGGCCUACCAAGGCGACGACGGGUAGCCGGCCUGAGAGGGCGACCGGCCACACUGGGACUGAGACACGGCCCAGACUCCUACGGGAGGCAGCAGUGGGGAAUAUUGCACAAUGGGCGAAAGCCUGAUGCAGCGACGCCGCGUGAGGGAUGACGGCCUUCGGGUUGUAAACCUCUUUCAGCAGGGAAGAAGCGCAAGUGACGGUACCUGCAGAAGAAGCGCCGGCUAACUACGUGCCAGCAGCCGCGGUAAUACGUAGGGCGCAAGCGUUGUCCGGAAUUAUUGGGCGUAAAGAGCUCGUAGGCGGCUUGUCACGUCGGAUGUGAAAGCCCGGGGCUUAACCCCGGGUCUGCAUUCGAUACGGGCUAGCUAGAGUGUGGUAGGGGAGAUCGGAAUUCCUGGUGUAGCGGUGAAAUGCGCAGAUAUCAGGAGGAACACCGGUGGCGAAGGCGGAUCUCUGGGCCAUUACUGACGCUGAGGAGCGAAAGCGUGGGGAGCGAACAGGAUUAGAUACCCUGGUAGUCCACGCCGUAAACGUUGGGAACUAGGUGUUGGCGACAUUCCACGUCGUCGGUGCCGCAGCUAAC
rnacentral:rRNA from 1 species